rnacentral:rRNA from 1 species
GACGAACGCUGGCGGCGUGCCUAACACAUGCAAGUCGAGCGAUGAAGCCCUUCGGGGUGGAUUAGCGGCGGACGGGUGAGUAACACGUGGGUAACCUGCCUCAAAGAGGGGGAUAGCCUCCCGAAAGGGAGAUUAAUACCGCAUAACAUUAGUUUUUCGCAUGAAGAACUAAUUAAAGGAGCAAUCCGCUUUGAGAUGGACCCGCGGCGCAUUAGCUAGUUGGUGAGGUAACGGCUCACCAAGGCAACGAUGCGUAGCCGACCUGAGAGGGUGAUCGGCCACAUUGGAACUGAGACACGGUCCAGACUCCUACGGGAGGCAGCAGUGGGGAAUAUUGAACAGUGGGCGAAAGCCUGAUGCAGCAACGCCGCGUGAGUGAUGAAGGCCUUCGGGUUGUAAAGCUCUGUCUUUUGGGACGAUAAUGACGGUACCAAAGGAGGAAGCCACGGCUAACUACGUGCCAGCCGCCGCCGUAACAC